rnacentral:rRNA from 1 species
UCUGGUUGAUCCUGCCAGUAGUCAUAUGCUUGUCUCAAAGAUUAAGCCAUGCAUGUCUAAGUACAAACCUUAAUACGGUGAAACCGCGAAUGGCUCAUUAAAUCAGCUAUGGUUCCUUAGAUCGUCUCAUCCUACUCGGAUAACUGUGGAAAAUCUAGAGCUAAUACGUGCUUACAAGCCCUGACCUCACGGGAGGGCGCAUUUAUUAGAUCAAAACCAAUCGGGGCUUGCCCCGUCUGCUUGGUGACUCUGGAUAACUUUUGUGCUGAUCGCAUGGCCUCUGCGCUGGCGACGUAUCUUUCAAGUGUCUGCCCUAUCAACUUACGAUGGUAGGUGAUAUGCCUACCAUGGUUAUAACGGGUAACGGGGAAUCAGGGUUCGAUUCCGGAGAGGGAGCCUGAGAAACGGCUACCACAUCUAAGGAAGGCAGCAGGCGCGCAAAUUACCCACUCCCGCACGGGGAGGUAGUGACGAAAAAUAACGAUACGGGACUCUUUUGAGGCCCCGUAAUUGGAAUGAGUACACUUUAAAUCCGUUAACAAGUAUCUAUUGGAGGGCAAGUCUGGUGCCAGCAGCCGCGGUAAUUCCAGCUCCAAUAGCGUAUAUUAAUGUUGCUGCAGUUAAAAAGCUCGUAGUUGGAUCUGAGGACUCGAAUUGGUGGUGCACCAUACGGUGUUACUGCCGAUUCGGCCUACCUAGUCGGUGCUCGCUCUUGGUGUUCUUAAUUGAAUGCCCUGAGUGCCCGGCAAGUUUACUUUGAAAAAAUUAGAGUGCUCAAAGCAGGCCAUUAGCCGGAAUACUUCAGCAUGGAAUAAUGGAAUAGGACUUCGGUUCUAUUUUGUUGGUUUUCGGAACCCGAGGUAAUGAUUAAGAGAGACAGACGGGGGCAUUCGUACUGCGGUGUUAGAGGUGAAAUUCUUGGAUCGCCGCAAGACGAACAACUGCGAAAGCAUUUGCCAAGAAUGUUUUCAUUAAUCAAGAACGAAAGUCAGAGGUUCGAAGACGAUCAGAUACCGUCCUAGUUCUGACCAUAAACGAUGCCAACUGGCGAUCCGAGAUCGUUUGCUUAUUGACCUCUCGGGCAGCCUCCGGGAAACCAAAGUUUUUAGUUCCGGGGAAGUAUGGUUGCAAAGCUGGAAGCCUUCGCCGGCUGCCGCGUCCGCGCUUGACUGUGAUGGCGAGGCCUGGCCAUGAAAUUCGGUCAGUGGUUGAGGUAGAGAUUGACGAGUCAAAAACCGCGAAAAUUACAAAAAAAAUAUACUAGUACUCGUUUGGGAGUGCCAAUAAAGGCAUGCGCAACCAUACUUACCGGAAAGUCCAGCCCCACCUGCACGUGGUCCCCCCUGCUCACUCUGAAUGAUCGGUCCCAGCGAUCAGGAGUUAUCUAACGGGGCUCUGGCAACCAAGGAGGGUCGGGUUUGCACCCCGGCCUUCUGUACCAGCACAUCCGCACCGGGCAAAAUUAAUGCUACAAAGUCAUCGCCUGAAGAUGACUCCCGGCGGUGCCGGGGAACCGCAACUGGCGCCUCAACGGUUGCGGCCGGUGGCAUUGGGUGUGCUUUUGGGUACUCCGGUCCUCGGAGUCUGAAAUGCUUGCAGUGUGAAGAGUUGGUCAAGACCGAGAAUGAGGGUAGAGAACAUGCAAAGUCAAAACAUCUAUCAGAGUCGGUCACUAUCUGGUGCUGUAAAUGCAACGCCUUCAACCGCGCAAAUCUGAAAGGAGUGGUGUCCCAUUGGGGUAGCUGUAAGGGCCCGGUGGCCGUUGUAGCCCCUGGA